rnacentral:rRNA from 1 species
AUCUGCAGUCGAGCGACUGAUUAGAAGCUUGCUUCUAUGACGUUAGCGGCGGACGGGUGAGUAACACGUGGGCAACCUGCCUGUAAGACUGGGAUAACUUCGGGAAACCGAAGCUAAUACCGGAUAGGAUCUUCUCCUUCAUGGGAGAUGAUUGAAAGAUGGUUUCGGCUAUCACUUACAGAUGGGCCCGCGGUGCAUUAGCUAGUUGGUGAGGUAACGGCUCACCAAGGCAACGAUGCAUAGCCGACCUGAGAGGGUGAUCGGCCACACUGGGACUGAGACACGGCCCAGACUCCUACGGGAGGCAGCAGUAGGGAAUCCUCCGCAAUGGACGAAAGUCUGACGGAGCAACGCCGCGUGAGUGAUGAAGGCUUUCGGGUCGUAAAACUCUGUUGUUAGGGAAGAACAAGUACAAGAGUAACUGCUUGUACCUUGACGGUACCUAACCAGAAAGCCACGGCUAACUACGUGCCAGCAGCCGCGGUAAUACGUAGGUGGCAAGCGUUAUCCGGAAUUAUUGGGCGUAAAGCGCGCGCAGGCGGUUUCUUAAGUCUGAUGUGAAAGCCCACGGCUCAACCGUGGAGGGUCAUUGGAAACUGGGGAACUUGAGUGCAGAAGAGAAAAGCGGAAUUCCACGUGUAGCGGUGAAAUGCGUAGAGAUGUGGAGGAACACCAGUGGCGAAGGCGGCUUUUUGGUCUGUAACUGACGCUGANGCGCGAAAGCGUGGGGAGCAANCAGGAUUAGAUACCCUGGUAGUCCACGCCGUAAACGAUGAGUGCUAAGUGUUAGAGGGUUUCCCCCCUUUAGUGCUGCAGCUAACGCAUUAAGCACUCCGCCUGGGGAGUACGG